rnacentral:rRNA from 1 species
GCGCAGCAGGCGCGAAUCUUCCACAAUGGACGAAAGUCUGAUGGAGCGACGCCGCGUGCGGGAUGAAGGCCUUAUGGGUUGUAAACCGCUGUCAGGGGGAAGAACAUCGGAAUGAACAAUACUACAUUCCGACUGACGGUUACCCCCACGAGGAAGGCUCCGGCCAACUCCGUGCCAGCAGCCGCGGGUAAUACGGGGGAGCAAGCGUUGUCCGGAAUUAUUGGGCGUAAAGGGCGUGUAGGCGGCGAGGUAAGUCGAAUGGUGAAAUCUCACGGCUCAACCGUGAAACUGCGUUCGAAACUACCCUGCUUGAGUACGGGAGAGGUGUACGGAAUUCCUGGUGUAGCGGUGGAAUGCGUAGAUAUCAGGAAGAACACCGGUGGCGAAGC